UCCUUGUUAGUAUAUCGGCUAGUACGCCCGCUUGUCAUUAAUAUCUGGUUAUUCAGGCUGAUCGCGGGAGAGCUGGGUUCAACUCCCAGACAGGGAG